rnacentral:rRNA from 1 species
AGAGUUUGAUCCUGGCUCAGGACGAACGCUGGCGGCGUGCUUAACACAUGCAAGUCGAGCGAUGAAGCUUCCUUCGGGAAGUGAAUUAGCGGCGGACGGGUGAGUAACACGUGGGUAACCUGCCUCAAAGUGGGGGAUAGCCUUCCGAAAGGAAGAUUAAUACCGCAUAAUAUGAGAGAAUCGCAUGAUUUUCUUAUCAAAGAUUUAUUGCUUUGAGAUGGACCCGCGGCGCAUUAGCUAGUUGGUAAGGUAACGGCUUACCAAGGCAACGAUGCGUAGCCGACCUGAGAGGGUGAUCGGCCACAUUGGAACUGAGACACGGUCCAGACUCCUACGGGAGGCAGCAGUGGGGAAUAUUGCGCAAUGGGGGAAACCCUGACGCAGCAACGCCGCGUGGGUGAUGAAGGUCUUCGGAUUGUAAAGCUCUGUUUUCUAGGACGAUAAUGACGGUACUAGAGGAGGAAGCCACGGCUAACUACGUGCCAGCAGCCGCGGUAAUACGUAGGUGGCGAGCGUUGUCCGGAUUUACUGGGCGUAAAGGGUGCGUAGGCGGAUGUUUAAGUGGGAUGUGAAAUCCCCGGGCUUAACCUGGGGGCUGCAUUCCAAACUGGAUAUCUAGAGUGCAGGAGAGGAAAGCGGAAUUCCUAGUGUAGCGGUGAAAUGCGUAGAGAUUAGGAAGAACACCAGUGGCGAAGGCGGCUUUCUGGACUGUAACUGACGCUGAGGCACGAAAGCGUGGGUAGCAAACAGGAUUAGAUACCCUGGUAGUCCACGCCGUAAACGAUGGAUACUAGGUGUAGGGGGUAUCAACUCCUCCUGUGCCGCAGUUAACACAAUAAGUAUCCCGCCUGGGGAGUACGGUCGCAAGAUUAAAACUCAAAGGAAUUGACGGGGGCCCGCACAAGCAGCGGAGCAUGUGGUUUAAUUCGAAGCAACGCGAAGAACCUUACCUGGACUUGACAUCCCUUGCAUAGCCUAGAGAUAGGUGAAGCCCUUCGGGGCAAGGAGACAGGUGGUGCAUGGUUGUCGUCAGCUCGUGUCGUGAGAUGUUAGGUUAAGUCCUGCAACGAGCGCAACCCUUGUUAUUAGUUGCUACCAUUAAGUUGAGCACUCUAAUGAGACUGCCUGGGUAACCAGGAGGAAGGUGGGGAUGACGUCAAAUCAUCAUGCCCCUUAUGUCCAGGGCUACACACGUGCUACAAUGGUAGGUACAAUAAGACGCAAGACCGUGAGGUGGAGCAAAACUUAUAAAACCUAUCUCAGUUCGGAUUGUAGGCUGCAACUCGCCUACAUGAAGCUGGAGUUGCUAGUAAUCGCGAAUCAGAAUGUCGCGGUGAAUACGUUCCCGGGCCUUGUACACACCGCCCGUCACACCAUGAGAGCUGGUAACACCCGAAGUCCGUGAGGUAACCGUAAGGAACCAGCGGCCGAAGGUGGGAUUAGUGAUUGGGGUGAAGUCGUAACAAGGUAGCCGUAGGAGAACCUGCGGCUGGAUCACCU